AAGGUUUUUGACUAGGUGAGAGACCAGGUUCAGGUGAGUCACAAUACAACAAUUAAAGGGGUUUAUGGACCCCCAGCCCCCCAUCACUCCCUCCAGCUCCAACAGGAGAAAUAUAAACCCCUUAUGAGGGCUAACCAAUCAAACCAUAAAAUCCAAUAGCCAUACAGUUCAGCUGGAAGAAUGUUCCUUUGUUAAACAAACAAUGUGUCUGGAACACUUUUUGGUCCAUUGUUCCAUUCCAGGACAGAGACUGAAGCUAUAGAAAUAAAUUAGUGAUUUCAAUCAUGCUCAUCCUGGACUGAUCCUACUGGCACAUGGAAACUUCCUGGCUGGGGCUGAAGAAGAGAAUUAACUCUUUCAGGCAAAGUGGAAACAUGAAGUUUUAUGAGAGAGAGAAGAAACCUUUGGUGGUGCACAGGGAUUUGAAUUCAGACUCUCCACAGCACCGGACAAUUGCGCAGUGUUGAAGUCUCAUGCUGGUCUGUAAAGCCAGGCCAGAAGAGGAACUGGGAAUAAUUAGGAUGGGAGAUUACAUCCAACUUACAGGUGGCACCCAGUAACAAAGAAAAUCAGCAAAGCACACAGCUGGCUAAGGUGAUGCACAGACCAGAAACCCUUGACAAGGACAACCGUGACAUUCGUUGAGCCAUAGCAUCUGGUACUGCAGUUUGGGAUAUGGCAGAUCAAAGCCCAGAAACCUCCUUCCAACCCCUUCUGAGGAAUCCUAGAGAUCUCCAGAAGCACCCUGUCAGUUGGUAAAAGACUCCAGACAUAAAGGACUUGGUAAAGAGCCACACCCAGCUCCCUUCCUCCUCCGUGUAAACCCUCAGCCUGCUUUUCACUAGACCCACUGCCCAGCUUUGUGCAAAACCUGGACACUGCUCAUCUCUGUGGCUGGGUGAGUGCCACCUCCUGGGGAGUAUGAGAGAAUAAAGAACAAGAGGAGCAGAAGCAAGAAGACCUUAUUUCAAGGCCCAGCCCUGCUACUCACCCACUUGACAAGGUGCUUUACGUUUCCUAGUCGGUGAGAAGGGACAUUAGCUGCUCUAACCUCCUCAGGGUUGGGGAGGUUGGGGUGGGGGGAGGCUAAAACGAGCAUCAGAGGAGAAUGCUGAAGGUUAAUGUUUUCAUUAUAGAGUCUUUGGAGAUGGAAAUAGACAUGUACCUGGAUUUGGGGGCUUGGAGGCUUGCCUUGCCCCUCCCUGCUUUCCCUGUGCAUCCCCACCCCAGGCUGCCCGGAGGCGUCCCCUCUGAGAUCAAAUCCAGCCAGCCCUACUGUGCCUCCCUGUCUCAGCUGUGCGGUCCCAGGGGCAGGGGCUGCAGAGUUCUUUGUUGUGUUCCCCAAAGAUCCCUCGGGGUAGGAAAGAGGCAAGGGAGAAGCCCAAGGUCCCAGCCUGCUGCCUCAGGGUGGGACAAGCAGGACAGGAACACAGCCAAAGCCAGAGGGAAAUCAUCGCAUCUUCCCCAGUCAUUAGUGUGAGCAGCAGCGGCACGACUGUUCCUACACUCAGGAGAGCAUGGCAGCGUCACGAAUAAACAGUAGAGACGAGGGCAUCAUUAAAACCCA
rnacentral:lncRNA from 1 species